AUUGAACGCUGGCGGCAGGCCUAACACAUGCAAGUCGAGCGAGCGGCGGACGGGUGAGUAAUGUCUGGGAAUUGCCCAGUCGAGGGGGAUAACCGUUGGAAACGAGUGCUAAUACCGUAUACGAUUGGAUUGCCCAGGUGGGAUUAGCUAGUUGGUGAGGUAAUGGCUCAUCACGGCGACGCUCCCUAGCUGGUCUGAGAGGAUGAUCGGCCACACUGGGACUGAGACACGGACCAGACGCCUACGGGAGGCAGCGGUGGGGAAUAUUGCACAAUGGGGGAAACCCUGAUGCAGCCAUGCCGCGUGUAUGAAGAAGGCCUACGGGUUGUAAAGCACUUUCAGCGGGGAGGCGUUACUCGCGGAAGAAGCACCGGCUAACUCCGUGCCAGCAGCCGCGGUAAUUC
rnacentral:rRNA from 1 species